AGAAAUUUCUAUUUCAGGCUCUUUCUCCAGAGGGGCAGCUGAGCCAAUAAGGGCAAAUGGGCUGUUGCCCGGGCAACAACAGCCCGUACCUGUGCAAGUCCCUGUAAUAUGUUCAU